UACGAAGGGGGCUAGCGUUGUUCGGAUUUACUGGGCGUAAAGCGCGCGCAGGCGGCUUUGCAAGUCAGGGGUGAAAUCCCAGAGCUCAACUCUGGAAUUGCCCUUGAGACUGUGAGGCUUCGAGUACGGGAGAGGUGAGUGGAAUUCCCAGUGUAGAGGUGAAAUUCGUAGAUAUUGGGAAGAACACCGGUGGCGAAGGCGGCUCACUGGCCCGUUACUGACGCUCAGGCGCGACAGCGUGGGGAUCAAACAGG
rnacentral:rRNA from 1 species